GACGAACGCUGGCGGCGCGCUUAACACAUGCAAGUCGAACGGUGAAGCGCCUUCCUUUUUGGUGGGUGUGGAUGAGUGGCGAACGGGUGAGUAACACGUGAGUAACCUGCCCCCUUCUUCUGGAUAACCGCAUGAAAGUGUGGCUAAUACGGGAUAUUCUGGGUCUGUCGCAUGAUGGGUCUGGGAAAGAUAUUGUUUCGGUGGGGGAUGGGCUCGCGGCCUAUCAGCUUGUUGGUGGGGUGAUGGCCUACCAAGGCGGUGACGGGUAGCCGGCCUGAGAGGGUGGACGGUCACACUGGGACUGAGACACGGCCCAGACUCCUACGGGAGGCAGCAGUGGGGAAUAUUGCACAAUGGGCGCAAGCCUGAUGCAGCGACGCCGCGUGAGGGAUGGAGGCCUUCGGGUUGUGAACCUCUUUCGCCAGUGAAGCAGGCCUGCCUCGUUUGUGGGUGGGUUGACGGUAGCUGGAUAAGAAGCGCCGGCUAACUACGUG
rnacentral:rRNA from 1 species